rfam:Tissierella creatinophila DSM 6911 TICR_contig000059, whole genome shotgun sequence.
GAGAACUAAUACUCUGAGCAAUUAAAUGAGAAGGUAACGCUUUGAAGAAUUGCCAUUAAUACUACGGUAUGCAGUUG